CCUACGGGAGGCAGCAGUAAGGGAUAUUGGUCAAUGGGGGAAACCCUGAACCAGCAACGCCGCGUGAGGGAAGACGGUUUUCGGAUUGUAAACCUCUGUCCUCUGUGAAGAUGAUGACGGUAGCAGAGGAGGAAGCUCCGGCUAACUACGUGCCAGCAGCCGCGGUAAUACGUAGGGAGCGAGCGUUGUCCGGAUUUACUGGGUGUAAAGGGGGCGCAGACGGCAAUGCAAGCCAGGAGUGAAAGCCCGGGGCCCAACCCCGGGACUGCUCUUGGAACUGCAUGGCUGGAGUACAGGAGGGGCAGGCGGAAUUCCUGGUGUAGCGGUGAAAUGCGUAGAUAUUAGGAGGAACACCGGUGGCGAAGGCGGCCUGCUGGACUGUGACUGACGUUGAGGCCCGAAGGCGUGGGGAGCAAACAGGAUUAGAUACCCGGGUAGUC
rnacentral:rRNA from 1 species